GGCAACAAGCCGCCGCGCCGCGCAAUGAUUGGCUGAAGCGCCUCCGCCCCUGCGAAGACGAAGGGCGAAAUUCUUCCAGAAAAGCCUCGCAGGCGGCCAGGAUGUACUCCCAAGCUCCUGUGAUGUUGUUCAGGUGCACCCACACCUUGUAGAUCCCAGGUGUGCCCAGGCACCUGGCCAGCUCAACCCAAAACAGAGGGGUUUUUAGGUGUUUUCUUCAAAGCGGCGGAUUUACACAGCGAGAUGUAAACUGGUAAUGAUGGAAAAGCAAGUGAAAUGGAAGACGUUCCUUUUGAAAUCGGUUUCUUUUACGGGACAAAAAUAAAUUAGGAGCAGAAAGAAGUUAAAAUCGUUCCUCUCGAGCAACUCUCCUGCAUCAAUGCUUAAUCCUCCCAAUCUGUGUGAUAUCAUUAAUCAUUCUACUCUAAUAUUUGACGCACGCAGUUGUGGGACAAAUUCAGAUCUAAUAGGAAGGCUGCAAUAAUACUGACUUCUGUGGAACUGCAGCUAAUUAUAACAUAUUUGAAUUUUCAUCUUUCAUGAAAGACCUCUAUAAAAUGAACAACCUUUCUCACUACUGAAAUGAGACUGGCAAGCAGAGGAGGGGAAAGAACCGUUGUCCAAGGACAACAGGAGAACUCUUAGCAUCGUAAUGAGCCUAUAUUUGUAAAAAAUACACUCGGCUGUUGGUGAUUUUUUGUUAAAUUAUGCUUUUUUUUUUCUCUUUAAGCUAUAAUACUGCUUCUCUACCACAUAAUGCACAUUUAAGUUGGAAUGGUUUGGUUGCCUUGAUCCUGCCAUCUUUGUAGGUGAUGCCAUCUUCCUAAAGAUGACAGGAUGCCUCCAGCCUGUUAUAGGAAGAUAUUAGGAUGCAAGAGGAUUCUGGUGCUGGUUUUCCUCGUGCCUGCAAUUACUCCUCGUAGCCCUUUUUUUAAGGGAACCUCUCCAUCCUCUGUGUAUACCUUGUAUCUUAAGGCCUGUUUCUCCAGUGGUUUCCCUCAUCUUGUUGCUGCUGGGCUUUCUACACCUCCUCCACAACGCAGUGUCCUUUGGAGUUAGAGGUAGACAGCUGAGCUGCAGAACUGCAGAAACCCUGGAUUUCCACAAGGAAAUUCUGCAGCCAAAUAGGGAUGUCCAAUUCCAGAGCAGGUAGUGAACUGAGUGCUGAUGGCCUUGGAGGGGGUUGUGGUGUGUCUGCAGUGUAGCACCAGGAGUGGAGGUGAGAAAGAAACCGAGGUGGUACCUCCUGCUUAUCUGUGAGACUUCCCUGAAAGCCACCAGAUGGAAACUGCCUUUCGGAGUAACGAGGAUAAUGCUGGUGUAAUCAUGGCUGUCUCCAUAAAAACACUCCCAAGAGGAUCAGGUUGUGGGAGGCCUCAGUGUGGGCAGCAGGAUGGAGCAGCCUAUGAUUAUUCUUCAAUAGCUGUAUUUUAAGAUAAAAAAAAGCCUAAGAAAAAG